GGGGGCGACAGGUUUCGACCGUGAGACGGGACCCCCAGGUUGCAAGCCGAGGCGCCGUUGGCCUCGUAUAAAAAACGGCAAAACAACAAACGCGAACACCAAGUUCACGACGGCGCGUGCUUCGUACGCGCUGGCUGCCUAACCUAAUCCGUUAGGUCGCACCAGACCUGCUUUUGAGCGGUCCGUCCCGCCCCUCCCCGCCCGCCGGAGGGAGCCGGGGCGUCACACACGCGG
rnacentral:tmRNA from 1 species